rnacentral:tRNA from 1 species
GCGCAGAUGGCGGAACUGGUAGACGCGCUAGAUUCAGGUUCUAGUGAUCGAGAGGUCAUGGAGGUUCAAGUCCUCUUCUGCGCA